UUAUUUUUUGUAGUAAUUCUUAAGUAGUUUGUAUAGCAACACUAAAGUUAAUUGUCAAUGUCGGAUAUGAUUAUGUCUAUUGACAUCUGACUAGAUGUCAAUGUCAAAAGAGGAUCUAAAAAGAAAGAUUUGUCGUUGUUGGUUUGUCAAGAAGAAAAAAUAAAGAUUGUGAGUUUUUGAAAAGUGUUUGCAUCAAGUUGAGCCCCAUUCCCACAUCUUUUUUGGGGGCUCGUCCGGGAUGGUGUAAAAUUUGAUGCUAGCCGAAGACGCAAGACGAGAUUAAAAAAUUGCAAGCCACGCCGUGGACGCGGACUGUUUUACCGACAAUUUUGCCGGUCCGGACUGAACAUAGGUACGAAUCACACCUCUACUGUUUUACCGACCCUACGAACUGUUCAGACUUCACUUCAAACAAAAUGUUGCAAGCUACAAAAUAAUUAUACUAAAAUGGUAGUUUUUUUUGGAAUUUGGAUUAAAGAUUUAUUUAAGACGAAAGACUAAAUGAGUCCAAAUAAGCCAUCAUUUUGCACGACUACCAAGAGAAGACGCAAUUUAAAGAGCAAUUCAAGUUUGAAGAGUUCUAGCUUGAUAGCAACAAUGCCGCCGAAGAAAGAUGAUAAGUACGAAAGUGAAGAUGAAGAACAGGAGUAUGAAGUUAAGAUUUCAUUUAAGGACUUGGAGAAAUCUAUGACUAUUUUUACCGGAGAUGACACCUACCCGAUUGAGACAUUUAUUGAUGAGUUUGAGGAUACUGCACAGAUUAUGAAGUGGACUAAAGUUGAAAAGUUAAUCUAUGCGAAGCGGCUUUUAGAUGGAACAGCGAAGUUGUUUUUACGCUCUUUGGGACGAGUUAAAGAUUAUCCAGGUUUAAAGAAGGCACUCAAAGAAGAAUUUGGCCCAAAGAUUAAUAGCGCAGUGGUGCAUAAAAAACUUGCUUCGCGGAAAAUGAAAAAUGAGGAGACAUAUCAGCAGUACUUUCUGUCUAUGAAAGAAUUGGCGCUUCAUGGCAAGGUUGAAGAUGCCGCAUUGAUCGAAUAUGUGAUUGAUGGUAUUCGUGACUUGGAUACUAAUAAAGCUAUUUUGUAUGGAGCCUCGGACAUAAAAGAAUUUCGCAAGAAGUUGGAAAUUUACAGUGACUUUAAAAAAAAGAGUUCUAAUAAGCCAGUAAAUUCAACUAAUACUGUCCAAUCAUCUGGAAAUACUUCAUUUCGAAAGAAGACUCGCGUUCAUAGAUGCUAUAACUGUGGUGAUUUAGAUCAUGUGUCAUCCAAUUGCUCGAAAGGAGUAAAAUGUUUUAAAUGUAAUGACUUUGGCCACAAAUCUACUGAAUGCCCUAAACAGACAAAGACUCUUAAUAUUCAAAAUAAAAAAGAAGAUAAAGUUCCGUACAAAAAUAUAAAGAUCAAUGGCAAAGACGUUAUAGCCCUUAUUGAUACCGGAAGUGACAUAAACCUAAUUAAAGAAUCAGAAUUUGAGAAAAUUAAAGAAGAUGUUAAAGACUAUAAGAUUGAAUCUACGUGCAUAACUGGAAUAGCAAAAAACGAAGUUUAUACCGAAGGAAUGUUUGUAGCUAAUAUACAGAUUGAUCAAUACUUUACAGACAUCAAGUUUCACGUGGUCAAGGAUAAUGAUAUACCAGUAAACAUAAUAAUUGGAAACCCUAUUUUACAUGAUUUUGAAGUCUGCUUUACCCCAGAAGGAAUUUUCAUGGAAAAGAUAACCCACCUUACGCUUUUAACAGAAGAAAAACAUACUGACCGGAUUUACGACAUAGAAGAUUCUAAAUAUAAAGAAAAAGUUCAUAAGAUGUGCGAAGAAUAUAGACUAAAUGAAAUGAAGAAAGAAAGUAAAGUUGAAUUAAAAAUAAUAUUAACAAAUGAAGAUCCAGUAUAUCAAAAUCCUCGACGACUAUCACCUUUGGAGAUGACUGCUGUUAACGCGCAAGUGAAAGAAUGGCUAGAUGGUGGCAUAAUCAAACUUAGCCAAUCUGAUUUUGCCAGUCCCGUGGUUUUGGGUGAUAAGAAAGAUGGUUCUCGACGAAUGUGUACUGAUUACCGAAGAUUAAAAGUGAUUAAAGAACGAUUUCCACUACCAACAACAGAAGAUCAGAUUGAUAAGUUAAAGGAAGCAAAGGUUUUCACUUCCCUCGACCUCAAAAACGGCUUCCUACACGCAAAGGACUUACCUCCGAGAGUUGAUCGCUGGGCGCUUCUCUUAGAAGAAUAUGACUACAAGAUUGAACACCGACCAGGAACAAGGAUGAAACAUGCAGCAGCCUUAAGCAGAAAUCCUGUUUGCCUUAUACUCACUGAAACUACAGCCCGUAUUAGAAAAGCUCAGAAUGAAGAUGCCCAUAUAAGACUAAUAAAAAAUAUCUUAGAGACACAGAAUUACGAAGACUAUAUUUUACAAAACGAAAUUUUAUAUAAGAUUAAAGAUGGAAACAGACUGAUUGUUGUGCCAAAGAAAAUGCAAUAUGAAAUAAUAAGGAAGAAUCAUGAAAGAGGACACUUUGGAACUGUAAAAACAGAAGAAUUGAUUAAAAGAGAAUAUUUUAUAGAUAACUUAACAGAAAAGGUUAAAAAGACAAUAAAUAAUUGCGUUGAAUGCAUUAUUCUAUCACACAAAGCUGGUAAAAAGGAAGGGUAUUUACAUCCGAUCGACAAAGGAGACGUCCCAUUGUCGACGUAUCACGUAGAUCAUUUGGGGCCAAUGACAUCCACUUCCAAAAAUUAUAAAUACAUCUUAACUGUCGUAGAUGCGUAUACGAAGUUCACAUGGAUUUAUCCUGUCAAGACGCUGACUACUGAAGAGACUCUAGAGAAACUAAGGCUGCAACAACAAACGUUUGGUGCACCUGAAAGAAUUAUUACGGAUCGAAACGCUGCUUUUACAUCAAAAGAUUUCCAAGAAUAUUGCAAAAGGGAGAAUAUUGCACUUUAUACGAUUACUACUGGACAACCCAGAGGAAACGGUCAAGUUGAGCGCAUACACCAGAUCAUAAUAGCGGUAUUAAGCAAACUAAGUGUUGAUGAUCCUAAUAAAUGGUAUCGCCAUGUCUCCAAUGUUCAAAGAUGUCUAAAUGGAACAUAUCAAAGAGCUAUUAAAAUGACGCCGUUCGAAUUACUUUUUGGUACAAAAAUGAAGGAUAAAGAUAUAGAACUGCAAAAAUUAAUAGAUGAAGAAGAUAUAGAAAUAUUUAAUGAGAAAAGACAAGAGCUCAGACAGAAGGCAAAAGAAUCCAUUGGAAAAACGCAGGAAGAAAAUGUGAAAUCAUUUAAUAAGAAGCGAAAGAAAGCCAAUACCUAUAAACCAGGCGAUUUGGUCGCGAUUAAGAGGACCCAAUUCGCACAAGGAAGUAAACUAUAUCCAAAAUACUUAGGACCGUAUGAGAUUGUUAAAAGCAAUCAAAACGAUCGCUAUUCUGUGAGGAAGAUUGGCAACAGUGAAGGUCCGUUUAAUACAACUUCCUCAGCAGAUUACAUGAAGCCCUGGAUCUCACUGGAAGAUGAUUCAUCUGAGUCAGAUGAAUAACAGGAUGACCGUGUGGGAAUAAUUAUGAUUUAUUUUUGUUAUUUUUUGUAGUAAUUCUUAAGUAGUUUGUAUAGCAACACUAAAGUUAAUUGUCAAUGUCGGAUAUGAUUAUGUCUAUUGACAUCUGACUAGAUGUCAAUGUCAAAAGAGGAUCUAAAAAGAAAGAUUUGUCGUUGUUGGUUUGUCAAGAAGAAAAAAUAAAGAUUGAAUCUACAUCAGGCCGGACGACGAGAGCGUACCCCCCGAGUUCCGGGGGGUCGGCAUCCGGGUGGAAGACGACGUGCUCAUCACCGACUCCGAGCCUGCGGUGCUGACAGAGUCCUGCGUCAAGGAGGUCCACG